GUUUCCCCGACAGGAUGUGAACCACAGAUCCAGCAUUUCCUGCCAUCUGCAUCUGGUGCUUCUGUCCACGCCUUCUUGUCCCUGGAAAGCAUGUUCUCUCAGAGCAGAGACUGUGAUUCCUGCAUCUCAUCUCCUGUUGCCCAGCACAGACUUGGUGCUCAAUGAAGAUUUGUCCAUCUGGAUGAAGAAUGGAUGGGUGGCUGGAUGGGAAGGCAGAUGGUUGAUGGCCUGGUCCUACAAUAUGUUGCCUCUUCUUAAAAUAAGGCACCGCAAAGCCCCUGAUGACAGUCAGGCAAAGGAAUAGGUGAUCCAGGAAGCACCUACCUGGGUACAGAGAUCAUCGCUCAGCGCCUCACCCUACACAAGGGUGAUUAACUUGUCUGUUAAGAACUCCUACUUAGAAAUUCCGACAUGAAACUCCCACCAGGCUCAAACUUGGCGCAGAACAGCAAUUACUGAAAACACAUUUUGGAAAAGGUUGACGUUUUAUAAGAGUUCGUCCUCCGCUCCUCAGCCUCCCUCAAGGACACACAUAUUUAGGUCUUCUCUGUGCGAGUCUAACUUGGAGACUGUGAGUUGCAGUUGAAAAGGGACCCUGGGGCCC